UACAGAGGUCUCAAGCGUUGUUCGGAAUCACUGGGCGUAAAGCGCACGUAGGCGGCUUACUAAGUCAGGGGUGAAAUCCUGGAGCUCAACUCCAGAACUGCCUUUGAUACUGGUAAGCUCGAGUCCGGGAGAGGUGAGUGGAACUGCGAGUGUAGAGGUGAAAUUCGUAGAUAUUCGCAAGAACACCAGUGGCGAAGGCGGCUCACUGGCCCGGUACUGACGCUGAGGUGCGAAAGCGUGGGGAGCGAACAGG
rnacentral:rRNA from 1 species